CAGCGUUAUUCGGAUCAYUGGGCKUAAAGGGUCCGUAGGCGGAUUGUUAAGUCAUGGAUGUGAAAUCCCACAGGCUCAACUGUGGCACUGCCUUUGAUACUGGUUAUCUUGAGUUAUAGRGAAGUAGAUAGAAUAUGUAGUGUAGCGGUGAAAUGCAUAGAUAUUACAUAGGAAUACCGAUUGCGAAGGCAGUCUACUACCUAUAUACUGACGCUAAGGGACGAAAGCGUGGGGAGCGAACAGGAUUAGAUACCCUGGUAGUCCACGCCGUAAACGAUGGAUACUAGCUGUUGGGCGUAWGCUCAGUGGCCAAGCGAAAGUGAUAAGUAUCCCACCUGGSGAGUACGUUCGCAAGACUGAAACUCAAAGGCAAUUGACGG
rnacentral:rRNA from 1 species